rnacentral:ncRNA from 1 species
AUAUCAAAGGGGCAAAUCCAUUGAAAAAUGGAGACGCAAAACUACAGGGGGCUUAAACAGUUUUUAAU